GAUGAACGCUGGCGGCGUGCCUAAUACAUGCAAGUCGAGCGAACGGACCAGAAGCUUUCUCUUCUGAUGUUAGCGGCGGACGGGCGAGUAACACGUGGAUAACCUACCUAUAAGACUGGGAUAACUUCGGGAAACCGGAGCUAAUACCGGAUAAUAUUUUGAACCGCAUGGUUCAAAAGUGAAAGACGGUCUUUCUGUCACUUAUAGAUGGAUCCGCGCUGCAUUAGCUAGUUGGUAAGGUAACGGCUUACCAAGGCAACGAUGCGUAGCCGACCUGAGAGGGUGAUCGGCCACACUGGAACUGAGACACGGUCCAGACUCCUACGGGAGGCAGCAGUAGGGAAUCUUCCGCAAUGGGCGAAAGCCUGACGGAGCAACGCCGCGUGAGUGAUGAAGGUCUUCGGAUCGUAAAACUCUGUUAUUAGGGAAGAACAAAUGUGUAAGUAACUGUGCACAUCUUGACGGUACCUAAUCAGAAAGCCACGGCUAACUACGUG
rnacentral:rRNA from 1 species